rnacentral:misc_RNA from 1 species
AGCUCUCAAAUGUUUGACUUCAUUGUUAAACAUUUGGAUUUGGGUGUCUUUUGCCGGUCGCAAGAUCGGCUCACCCUAAAUGCAUUAGCUGGCUUUUUUGGGUCUUUGCAAACUUGGUGUGAUAAUUGUCACUCGCUGGGUUUGCAGACUUUAUUUAUGGAAGCUGCUUACAAUCGCCUCUUCGGAGACAUCUAAGU